rfam:Macrophomina phaseolina MS6 contig00753, whole genome shotgun sequence.
GCCCAAGAAGCUCAAUUGGUAGAGCGGAACUCUGAAGAUGUUUAGGUUAUAAGUUCGAAUCUUAUCUUGGGCA